AGCGGCGGACGGGUGAGUAACGCGUGGGAAUAUGCCCUUCUCUAAGGAAUAGCCUCUGGAAACGGAGAGUAAUACCUUAUACGCCCUUCGGGGGAAAGAUUUAUCGGAGAAGGAUUAGCCCGCGUUAGAUUAGGUAGUUGGUGGGGUAAUGGCCUACCAAGCCUACGAUCUAUAGCUGGUUUGAGAGGAUGAUCAGCCACACUGGGACUGAGACACGGCCCAGACUCCUACGGGAGGCAGCAGUAGGGAAUCUUAGACAAUGGGGGAAACCCUGAUCUAGCCAUGCCGCGUGUGUGAUGAAGGCCUUAGGGUCGUAAAGCACUUUCGCCAGAGAUGAUAAUGACAGUAUCUGGUAAAGAAACCCCGGCUAACUCCGUGCCAGCAGCCGCGGUAAUACGGAGGGGGUUAGCGUUGUUCGGAAUUACUGGGCGUAAAGCGCACGUAGGCGGAUUAGUAAGUUAGAGGUGAAAUCCCAGGGCUCAACCCUGGAACUGCCUUUAAUACUGCUAGUCUUGAGUUCGAGAGAGGUAAGUGGAAUUCCAAGUGUAGAGGUGAAAUUCGUAGAUAUUUGGAGGAACACCAGUGGCGAAGGCGGCUUACUGGCUCGAUACUGACGCUGAGGUGCGAAAGUGUGGGGAGCAAACAGGAUUAGAUACCCUGGUAGUCCACACCGA
rnacentral:rRNA from 1 species